UCUUCCCUCCCCCUCACUCACGCACACUUCCUUUCUUCCUCUUUCUUUUCCUUCUUCUUCCCACUCAGCCGAACCACCUCUCCCUCUCUUUUCUCUUCUUCUUCCUUCGGUCACGCCUGAACUUGCAACAUCCAAACCAUUAUUUCUUCCUUCUCUUCUCCCUUAGUCUCUCUUGUCACGCACCUGUUGACUCGUGAGAGGGCUUGAGUCGUGAGGGAGCUGCUGAGCUAGAGGAUUUUCUGCAAAAAAUUUGAGAGGAAAAAUGCGAAAAAUGUAAUGGAUAGUGUCCGGAUUGGAAACUUUAAUGGGUUCUCCAAUGUAGAGUUCGAUUCAUGUGUCCAAUGCAGCCAAGAUGUAGUUUCUUUGGCUGCAGGUAUUUUGGUCGUAGUUGAUGAUGUUGUAGAAAUGUACUUGAGAUAUUAUGACUGAAGCUCGCCGCAACGGUUGUAAUUGUCAGACUAUAGGUUGUCCACUAUUCUAUAGGUUUGUUUAUGGCUUGUGACGUUUGUGUCACUUGUUAUUGUAUAAAGCCAUUUAUGUUAUGUAUUUAUUAUGAGAAAAGACUUAAACAGAUAGAUGUAAUAUGGCUAUUUGUUUAUGAUUAUUUGUAAUAGAGGUUUAUGUUAU